GUUUUUCGUCAGUCUAAUAGCUACAUAAACAAGUGGACAUCUUAUAUCGCAAACGUUUAGUUGUCAUUUUAAAUUUACUGAAACGUGGAAAUGAUAUUUGUAAGAUCAUGCAAUAAAGGUCAUAGACGACAGUAGUACGGGUAACUCAUUAUCUGAGAUGGCAUCUGUAAAGAGCCCAACAGCUCUUUCACCGAUGCAGCCAAUCAAGGUGGAUAUAGAUGAAGCCUUUGGAGCCAGAAGUGAGCAGUCUUCUGUUCCCGUGAGUCCUAGGAGGGGCAAGGCACACAUCCCUAUCCGAGCAAGCAUCAGCCCAAAGAGGCUGAAGGUGUGCAAUGGCAAGGGUGAUCCACAUUUCGGCCUGCCCGGCGAGACGCUAGCAAAGAAGAGUCAGAUUGUCGGGUGUCGGGUCGACUCGUCGAACGUUGCCACGGGUCUUCAUAGGGGCAGGUCUGUCGACGAUACUUCCUCCGUUGACCAGUAUAGGGGCAAACUCUGCAACUGCACGACAGAGCAACAUCAUUGCACAUACGCGGGUUGCGAGCCGUGUGCCAGUCCGAGAUGCAAUCAACUAGAGGUGCCUUCUAACGACACGCCGAAAAAGUGUCGUCCAGGAACGUUAGAUAGUGCGCAAGCAGCUCAAACGCCGGUGCCUCCAUCUGUAGCCUGUUCCAGCCCUAGGAAGAAAAAGUUUCACGAAGGCCAGGAGUGUUUGUCUCGAUGGAAUGAUGGUCUGCUGUAUCUGGCUACAGUCGUCAAGCUGGAUAAUGCUGGUGAAAGAUGUUUGGUAGCAUUUGAAGACAACUCUGAACACUGGGUCUUAUUUAAAGACCUGCAAAGCAGUGAAGAGGAGCCUCGCUCAGAGGUAGUCUGCUCCGUCUGCGAGUGUGCUGAGUGUGAAAAGCCCAAUGAGAUCGUCAUAUGUGAUAACUGCAGCUUGGGCUAUCAUCAGCAGUGCCACAGCCCGCCUAUUGAGGCCAACACAAUGACUGGUGGAGUGCAGUGGAGCUGCCGUCAGUGUGUCUUCGCCAAGACUACAAAGAGAGGUGGAGCCACCAAACUGGGUCCAAAUGCAAAGGCCUUGCAAGCAUAUAAAAAGGCACUACCGUACAAGCUGAGCUCACUCACGUGGGAUGCUCAUCACAAAACCAAUUCACAGCAAUGCUACUGCUAUUGCGGUGGACCAGGCGAUUGGUAUAUAAAAAUGGUGCAAUGCUGCCGGUGCAAACAGUGGUUUCAUGAAGCAUGCGUGCAAUGUCUAAAAUAUCCUCUGAUGCUGGGAGACCGUUUCUACCUGUUUGUAUGCUCUGUGUGCAAUCAAGGACCAGAGUACAUCAAACGACUAGAUCUCAACUGGUCUGACGUCACACAGCUUUGUCUGUUUAAUCUGACGCUGCAGCCUGUCAGCAACAGCAAAUAUCAUGACAUUGAGGAAUCCAUCAUGCCUUGGAUAUCCAGAAACUGGGUGAAUCUCCAGCUUGGACAGAUCGCAUCCACGCCGGCCGAGCAGGCGACCGGCAAGGUGACGGACGCGCUGCAGCACUCGAAGACGCGCUUCCAGUGCGGCCGCGAGAUCCGGAAGAGGAGCACGCUGUGGAGUCUGCGCAUCCGCGUGCCUCCGCAGGCGCCCACCGUCAUCCUGCCGGCGAUCGGCGAGAUCACCGACGACGUCAUGCGUGACAUGAAGAUGACGGGCCGCAAGACGAAGAUGUUCGUCCCGAUGCAGAGCCUAUCGCCGGUCCCGCUCAGGUCUAGCCAGAAGCGACGCCGUUCGGAUAUGGAGAAGCAACACGACAGAGCUCGCCAGUGCUACCUCAGGGCUACUACGCGGGACGUCGUGAAGAAUCCGUUCAGUAGUAACCAGUCGUAUGCGGGCUACAACGGGGAUGAUAGAGCGUGGGAUUGCGACGAUGAAACAUCCUCCCAGGGCACCCUGGACAGUAUCAUUCCUCCACCGGACUCCUUCGAUGGCACUAACAACCCAUUUCUGUUCUAUGACGAUCAUAAGCAGAAGAAAGUGAAACUCGUCAAUCUCUCGGAGACGGGCGUCGGCAAGCGGCGCCGCGGCCGGCCGCCGAAGAACGCCGCGAGUAAGGCGCGCGCGUUCCUGCUGCCACCUCUCAACGGGUUCGUGCGUCUCCGGCCACCUAUGCUGCCCCCGCCGGCCCCCUCCUCGUCGUCGCGCGGCGGUCGGCUGCUGACCGGACUCCAGGUGAAGCAGAGCGCGCUGGACCAACCGACGUCCAUGCAGGCGCUCAAGUCGUCAGUCACGAACUACUUUGGCGCAACGCAGAGGAUCGCCAACGGGGAGCGCUUCUCGAUCCUCGGACGCCGGAUCCUGCCGAGUGGACAAGUGCAGUACUUGCUCAACUGGGAGUAGGCGGUUGCCACGUCGGGGUGGCCCCCCUCCCCCGGGGGUGGGGCGGGGCGACGGCUGAGGGUGACAUACGUGAUGGAGUGGAAACGAUUUUCGACCGCGAAUGUCUUCCCGUCACUGAUCUUUCCUGCUGAUAAGA
rnacentral:misc_RNA from 1 species